AGCCACUGAGUCCCUGCUAGCCACUCUACUUGUAUGCUCAAGCAACCUACCCGAACUCUCGGCGGGCCACCGAUUGAGUUCCUAUUUGGUCUUGCUACGAGUGGAGUUUACCUUGCUGCCGAAUGUUACCACCGGCACGGUGUGCUCUUACCACACCCUUUCACCCUUACCUUUUUCCGAAGAAAACGGCGGUCUGCUCUCUGUUGCACUGGUCGUAGGCUGCACGCUCCCCCAAGACGUUA
rnacentral:misc_RNA from 1 species